UGUAGAUUGAAAACAUUUUUUAAUUCAUACAAAUGGCAUAAAAAUGUCAGGGUAGAAGGAAACAUUUGAGUUGAUACAAACAUCCCCCCCUCUCCCUCAUAAUAAAUACGGUAGGCCUACAAAUCUGAUCCACAUCCACAACAUUUCUUCUUUCAUUUUCCACACAGUGCAAAAAAACAGGUGCAUCUUCUGAGAGGUGCACCCAACAACAACAACAACAACAAACGCGCAAAGUAACCCUGUCGUUGCCGUUGACAGCUAUUGUUCUUGGACACAAAGGAAGAGGCUCCUUGGAUCGCAGGCGGCUCAUGCCAACCAACGAAUAAAGGCGCCUCAAUUAAAAACAAAAGCACGUGCAAAAGAAGAGAACACAGGAUUUCGACAGUGUCAACAUGAAAGGCUAUUCAAUUCAUACAUCAUUACAAUUAUUAGACUCGUAAAAAACAACAUUCCCAUGUGUGUGGAAACAGUGUUCGCCGUGCGUAAUGGUGAGCAGUGUCAGCGGAUAGGCUACUAAGAAUCCAUAUAUUUUGUGUAGGCUACAGUGUGCAAUGUUCGUAGCUUGCCUUAUCACAUCAUAUUAAAGUCUUAUAAUAUGAGAAGCAUUCGUCAGCAGCUUUUUAGGUGCGGAAGGGUAGAUAGUUUGUCCACUUUCCCAAAAGCAGCGGCGCUUUCCACUCCUUUCAGCCAUUCUUUGCAUUUCCUCACCACCGUCUCAUCCACAUCGCCGUCUUCUUCUUCAUAUUCCACGUCAUCGUAUUUAUACUGAUCAUUUAGUAAAGAUAUUUUGACUAUGGUUGUAAUGUCCUCUGCGUGUUCCAGAUUGGCGACGGGAAUGGUCGAGCUUUUGGAACCACCUUGAGUCCGUUUGGAUGGAAAGACUCGCCUGUGCCGAAAGUCUACGGACACACAACCCUUCUGCUGUUUGGCUAGCAUUUGUUUUUCUAAGCUGCGCUUCUGAAUAACGAGAAUGGCCUCCGGUGUGAGGCUCAGAGAGAAUUGAAUCUUCCUUUCUUCUCCUGUCUCGUCCUUUCCUAUGGAACUCCGAGAGGACUGCUUGCCCCUGUCCCGGUGCGUGGUGGAUUCCACAGAAUUGUACAGCGGAACGCUCUCGCACGAGUCUUGAGAUUGUUUGGGUAAAGUUAGCCAGGAGCUCUUUAAACCUUCUGUCUCCUGAAUCGGGAGUUUAGUUUUCUGUUGUUGGGGUUUUCGCCCCAAAUUCCUCAGAUUGGCCGCAGUCCAAGACUUCGAGAUCUUUUCCUUCUCCGAGAUCUUUUCCUCCGUCUGUUUCUUUUUCCUGAACAGCUCUCUCCCGGGAGAAGAGAUUCGUUGAUGGAGAUUUAUCGGCGGAAAAGGCAUUAUUGGGAUUUAAAAGUGAUCCGACCACAAAAGCAACGUCUUCUAUUAAACAGAAUAAUAACUUUAAACUCUAAGACUGUAAAUAAAUAUACUGUAUUCCAAUUGCAUUAUCCGAUCAAGUAAAAAUGAGGUAUCUUGAAUGCCGUAAUGUGCAACAGCGCUAUAAUCCGUUUGGUAAUUCAACUGGUGUGAAUGUGCGGUUUGUCUGGUAUUUAUAAGGCUCGUCGGUGGGAGGCGUGUCCACGGUAAGAGCGGAGGAGCCGAAGCACGCGGCUAAACAAAGGCAACAACCGAAUAAAAACAAGCGUGGCUUCUGCGGUGGCCUUUAGGAUAGUGAUGUCAUUCAUUCCAUGUAUUACUUUACAUGUAACCGUGUUCUUGUUGAAUGUAAAAAUAACAAAUACAAACUGACCAAUAACAUGAUAGUGUUACUAUUCAGGGGACUGUUAUUACAGGGCUGAGGUCAAUUCCAAUUUACAUUUCAGUAGAAUGUUCACGUUUCCAUUCAGUUCAUCCACUGAAAUUAAAAUUUAAACCAAAUAAAUUAGAUGAAAGAUAUAAAGAACACACACACAAUAUUGUUAUAGCUAUUUAUAAUUUCCCAGUGACAAAUGUCCAUUUACUCAUGUAACCGAGUAUGUCUGGUAUAGAUCCAUCUGCCGUUUCUCUGUUCGGGAACCAUUUCUAGGUCGAAACCUGAUUGUCAAUCGUCUAG
rnacentral:lncRNA from 1 species